CCCGCUCAGAAACUCAAAGGAAUUGACGGGGGCCCGCACAAGCGGUGGAGCAUGUGGUUUAAUUCGAUGAUACGCGAGGAACCUUACCUGGGCUCAAAUGUAUGUUGACGUAUUCUGAAAGGGAUACUUCUUCGGACAAUAUACAAGGUGCUGCAUGGUUGUCGUCAGCUCGUGCCGUGAGGUGUCGGGUUAAGUCCCAUAACGAGCGCAGCCCCUAUCAUUAGUUGCCAUCAGGUCAAGCUGGGGACUCUAAUGAAACUGCCUACGCAAGUAGUGAGGAAGGCGGGGAUGACGUCAAAUCAGCACGGCCCUUACGUCCAGGGCUACACACGUGCUACAAUGGCCGAUACAGAGGGCAGCUACCUGGUGACAGGAUGCAAAUCUCCAAAGUCGGUCUCAGUUCGGAUCGGAGUCUGCAACCCGACUCCGUGAAGUUGGAUUCGCUAGUAAUCGCGCAUCAGCCAUGGCGCGGUGAAUACGUUCCCGGGCCUU
rnacentral:rRNA from 1 species